rnacentral:tRNA from 1 species
UAAAAGUUAGUUUAAAUUUGAGAACGGCCGGCUGUUGACCGGAGGGUUGACUUUUAG